ensembl:antisense Gm13179 predicted gene 13179
ACUUCUAGUCCUCACACUGGCAAAGUGAGCCAUCUUUCCAGCCCAAUGCAACAUUGUUUUACAUCAAGCUUACAAGAAUUACUAUGCUGGGUAUAUAGCUCGGUGGAAGAACGCUAGCCUGGCAUACGUGAGGCCAUAGGUUCAAUCCCCAAAGGUGCAGAAACAAAACCAACAACAACAACAACAACAACAACAACAACAACAACAACAAACUGACAAACCAACAGCAGCAGCAGCAGCAGCAGCCACCACAAACUAGGCAAAGAUUCCAUUUCGAAAAGAAAGAUCUAAAGAAACAGUGGACCUGCAGGUUUAAUGGAUUACUGUGUAUUUCAGGUGCCACCCUGGUGUCUUUGUUGGCCUGCAGUGAUGCUACAUUGUACCCAAUGACAAACCAACGACAAACUCAGAAGAAGCAAAAGCUUUCCCAGCAAUGAGCAGGCAGAAACUUCUGGAAAGCAAGAUGUGUGAAGAUGUAUGACAAACAACACAGACUUAAUUGCUUACAGCUUCCCGGAGACACAAUCUCUUCAGUUCCUCCAGCCUCUGGCGCAGCGUCUCCUCCAGAGCUUCCUGCCUGGAUUUCAAGGCAGCCAACAUGUCUUUCUUGGCCGACUGCGAGCUAUCUGAUUCCUGAGAACCUGUUGAUAAACAGCGGGGUUACUAGGCGGCUG